UAAUUUUUUUAGAAUAGAUCUUCAUCUAGUUGUUACAUAUUCACAUCUAACUUUCCAGAAUCACAUGUUAAUACAAGCCCAACUACAUCAAAAAUGAUUUCUUCCCAUGUUAUCAAUAUCAAUUUUUUUU
rfam:Populus trichocarpa scaffold_13_contig_329, whole genome shotgun sequence.